rnacentral:rRNA from 1 species
CCCUAUGGGGUGCAGCAGGGGAAUGGGUGGAAGAAUCCGUUUGGAGACGGCAGAGCGGGAAGGAUUAUCGUAAAUGAUCAAGAGCCAAUUAAGUAUUCGUGAGCGCUCAUGAUAGAUGGGAUCGAUCUUAUGGUUAUUCAUACAUGGAGUUGUACCUGACAAUGGCAUCUGCGAAUGACGAAAUUGAUGCUCUGAUGCGAACUGAGAUUUAUAAGUCCCGAGAGGAGCUAUUGAAGGAUGCAUUGAGAGCUCUAUUAUCUAUGAAGCCGGGCCUCCGAAUCGAGAUAGCUAUUGAUCUUUACAGGAAUGAGAAGGUCAGCCUCUGGAAGGCGGCUGAAAUAGCAGGGCUUUGCAUGGAAGAGUUUAAGGACGUGCUGGCCUCCAGGUCCAUUAAACUCGAGGUAGGUGGGACGGAUGAGGAGAGC